UGGCGGCCUUAGCGCGGUGGUCCCACCUGACCCCAUGCCGAACUCAGAAGUGAAACGCCGUAGCGCCGAUGGUAGUAUGGGGUCUCCCCAUGCGAGAGUAGGGAACUGCCAGGCA
rnacentral:rRNA from 6 species